GAUGAACGCUGGCGGCGUGCCUAACACAUGCAAGUCGAACGAAGUCUAUGGAGCUUGCUUCAUAAACUUAGUGGCGGACGGGUGAGUAACGCGUGAGUAAUCUGCCUCAAGCGUGGGGGAUAACACAUGGAAACGUGUGCUAAUACCGCAUAAGAUAGCAGCUUCGCAUGGAGCAGCUAUUAAAGUUUUUUCGGCUUGAGAUGAGCUCGCGUCUGAUUAGCUAGUUGGUGGGGAAACGGCCUACCAAGGCGACGAUCAGUAGCCGGACUGAGAGGUCGAACGGCCACAUUGGGACUGAGACACGGCCCAG
rnacentral:rRNA from 1 species